rnacentral:rRNA from 1 species
UCCAUACAUUGUUUUCAGGCUCCCUUUCCGGAAAGGGAAACUACUUGACCUCAAACCGCAAGCACCAUAAAAUUAAAAUGGAUCCAUCAGAACUCCGCAGUUAAGCGUGCUUGGGCGAGAGCAGUACUAAGAUGGGUGACCUCUUGGGAAGUCCUCGUGUUGCACCCCCUCCUUUU